AAAAAAUUAGUUAAUUUAAAUAACAUUAGUAUGUCAAACUAAAAUUAUUGAUCCUCAAUAUUUUUUA
rnacentral:tRNA from 1 species